CAAACUCAAAGUUCGUGUUCUCCGUUAUUUUAGUGUGUGUAUUUCUCGAGUCCCAUGUUUCCCUAGCAGCUGACACUAUCAGUGAAAACCAAUCUCUCUCCGGCGAUCAAACCAUUGCUUCUGCUGGUGGGAUGUUUGAGCUAGGUUUCUUCAAACCAGGUCAGCUUUCAAACUACUAUAUAGGCAUAUGGUACUCCAAGCAAGUAGUAUCUAAGAUGACUGUUGUUUGGGUAGCAAAUAGGGAAAUACCAGUUUCUGAUAUAUUUUCUUCGGCAUUGAGCAUCUUAGA
rnacentral:lncRNA from 1 species